ensembl:snRNA U6 U6 spliceosomal RNA
GUGCUUGCUUUGGUAGCACCUAUCCUGCAAUUGGAACGAUACAGAGAAGAUGAGCAUGGCCCCUGCACAAGGGACAAGCAGAUUCGUGAGAAUAUUGUU